UUGAUGGUGAACUUCCAAGUGCUUUCCGGUUCCAACAACGCCCGAUCGCCGAAAUGGUCGCCAUCUGCUAGCCUAUCCAGCAGAGCUUCCUCGCCAUACUUGCCAGCAACAGUUUUAUUAACUUUGCCAUGAGCGAUCGAGAACAAGCGAUCGGCUCUCUGACCUGACUCUACGAUGAUGUCACCAGGUGCAAACUCCUGUUGCACAAACCUACUCGCUAAGGCGCUCAAUACCUCAGUGUCGUUAAACCCUCGCAGCAAUGGCAACUGACAAAGUUCUUGGGGAAUUACUUCAACUACCGUUCCGGUGUUGGCGAAAGUUAGCCUGCCAUCAGCCACCGUAUAAUUUAACCGACGGUUCAACCGAUAAGUGCCACCCUUUGUCUGCACCCAAGGCAACAUCUUCAACAACCACCGAGGCGUAAUUUCCUGCAUUUGCGGUGCAGAUUUGGUUGUUGUUGCCAAAUUUCUGGCGGCGGCUGUUCCCAAACUCAGUUGGGGUUGCUG
rnacentral:antisense_RNA from 1 species